CGUAGGGUGCGAGCGUUAAUCGGAAUUACUGGGCGUAAAGCGUGCGCAGGCGGUUUGUUAAGAUAGGCGUGAAAUCCCCGGGCUCAACCUGGGAACUGCGCUUAUGACUGGCAAGCUAGAGUACGGCAGAGGGGGUGGAAUUCCACGUGUAGCAGUGAAAUGCGUAGAGAUGUGGAGGAACACCAAUGGCGAAGGCAGCCCCCUGGGUCGAUACUGACGCUCAUGCACGAAAGCGUGGGUAGCAAACAGGAUUAGAUACCCUGGUAGUCCACGCCCUAAACGAUGUCAACUAGGUGUUGGAUGGGUAAAACCGUUUAGUACCGGAGCUAACGCGUGAAGUUGACCGCCUGGGGAGUACGGCCGCAAGGUUA
rnacentral:rRNA from 1 species